rnacentral:rRNA from 1 species
UUAAAUUGAAGAGUUUGAUCAUGGCUCAGAUUGAACGCUGGCGGCAGGCCUAACACAUGCAAGUCGAACGGUAACAGGAAGCAGCUUGCUGCUUUGCUGACGAGUGGCGGACGGGUGAGUAAUGUCUGGGAAACUGCCUGAUGGAGGGGGAUAACUACUGGAAACGGUGGCUAAUACCGCAUAAUGUCGCAAGACCAAAGAGGGGGACCUUCGGGCCUCUUGCCAUCAGAUGUGCCCAGAUGGGAUUAGCUUGUUGGUGAGGUAACGGCUCACCAAGGCGACGAUCCCUAGCUGGUCUGAGAGGAUGACCAGCCACACUGGAACUGAGACACGGUCCAGACUCCUACGGGAGGCAGCAGUGGGGAAUAUUGCACAAUGGGCGCAAGCCUGAUGCAGCCAUGCCGCGUGUAUGAAGAAGGCCUUCGGGUUGUAAAGUACUUUCAGCGGGGAGGAAGGUGUUGUGGUUAAUAACCGCAGCAAUUGACGUUACCCGCAGAAGAAGCACCGGCUAACUCCGUGCCAGCAGCCGCGGUAAUACGGAGGGUGCAAGCGUUAAUCGGAAUUACUGGGCGUAAAGCGCACGCAGGCGGUCUGUCAAGUCGGAUGUGAAAUCCCCGGGCUCAACCUGGGAACUGCAUUCGAAACUGGCAGGCUUGAGUCUUGUAGAGGGGGGUAGAAUUCCAGGUGUAGCGGUGAAAUGCGUAGAGAUCUGGAGGAAUACCGGUGGCGAAGGCGGCCCCCUGGACAAAGACUGACGCUCAGGUGCGAAAGCGUGGGGAGCAAACAGGAUUAGAUACCCUGGUAGUCCACGCCGUAAACGAUGUCUACUUGGAGGUUGUGCCCUUGAGGCGUGGCUUCCGGAGCUAACGCGUUAAGUAGACCGCCUGGGGAGUACGGCCGCAAGGUUAAAACUCAAAUGAAUUGACGGGGGCCCGCACAAGCGGUGGAGCAUGUGGUUUAAUUCGAUGCAACGCGAAGAACCUUACCUGGUCUUGACAUCCACGGAAGUUUUCAGAGAUGAGAAUGUGCCUUCGGGAACCGUGAGACAGGUGCUGCAUGGCUGUCGUCAGCUCGUGUUGUGAAAUGUUGGGUUAAGUCCCGCAACGAGCGCAACCCUUAUCCUUUGUUGCCAGCGGUCCGGCCGGGAACUCAAAGGAGACUGCCAGUGAUAAACUGGAGGAAGGUGGGGAUGACGUCAAGUCAUCAUGGCCCUUACGACCAGGGCUACACACGUGCUACAAUGGCGCAUACAAAGAGAAGCGACCUCGCGAGAGCAAGCGGACCUCAUAAAGUGCGUCGUAGUCCGGAUUGGAGUCUGCAACUCGACUCCAUGAAGUCGGAAUCGCUAGUAAUCGUGGAUCAGAAUGCCACGGUGAAUACGUUCCCGGGCCUUGUACACACCGCCCGUCACACCAUGGGAGUGGGUUGCAAAAGAAGUAGGUAGCUUAACCUUCGGGAGGGCGCUUACCACUUUGUGAUUCAUGACUGGGGUGAAGUCGUAACAAGGUAACCGUAGGGGAACCUGCGGUUGGAUCACCUCCUUACCUGAAAGAAGC